rnacentral:sRNA from 1 species
GAGUGGCCUACCGGGGACCCUCCCCCAGAGGGACCGGCCCGGGGCGGGGAGAUGAACGGCUUCAGCACGGAGGAGGACAGCCGCGAAGGGCCCCCCGCCGCCCCAGCUGCCGCCGCCCCGGGCUACGGCCAGAGCUGCUGCCUCAUCGAGGACGGCGAGCGCUGCGUCCGGCCCGCGGGCAACGCCUCCUUCAGCAAGAGGGUCCAGAAGAGCAUCUCGCAGAAGAAACUCAAGCUGGACAUCGACAAGAGCGUAAGGCACCUAUAUAUCUGUGAUUUUCACAAAAAUUUCAUCCAGAGUGUCCGAAAUAAAAGGAAGAGGAAGACAAGUGACGAUGGCGGAGAUUCUCCCGAGCACGACACUGACAUUCCUGAGUGCUCUCCACCUGCCUGAAGCAAGAACAGCUCUUUUAGAGGCAGGUUGAUCUGUUCCAGCUGCAGGUGAACACCCUACGACGUUAUAAACGACACUACAAGUUGCAGACCAGACCAGGCUUCAAUAAG